UUUCGUAUAUUCACUCUAAUAUACAUUAUAUAUAUAUAUGUAUAUAUAUAUAUACACAUAUUUAGCCAUACACUGUUAUGGUGUGGUAUCUUCUCUGUACAUAUGCGCUUGCUUCUGAAAAAGAGCUUAUGUGUGUGUAUGCAAAAAACAACAACACACACCAUACACAAAUGAUGGUGACCUCCUUUUGUGUUGUGUGUGGUGGUGAAGAGGUAGGGUGUGUGUGUGUGUGUGUCAAGCACAGCAGCAACACGCAGCGCGCGCGCCCCCUCUCCUUCACUCUCAGUCAUUUUGUUAUCUUGUACUGUGUUUUACGUGUACGUUUUAGGGAAAAGUAGAGAAUGGCGUCACAUAUAUAUACAUAUAUAUAUAUAUACGCGUGUGUAUGUGUGUGGCCCCCGUCUCACACGAAAGAGAAUUUUCUCUUUCCUUCUCAGUUGUGUCGGGGGGGAUUCUUCGUGGUUCUUUCAUUGCAGCACACAGAGGGGGGGGAGCGCACCCCGAUCUCCCUCGGGACGACAGAGGGAAGUUUCUUCUUGUUCAAAAAAAUACUAAUUC
rnacentral:misc_RNA from 1 species